rnacentral:rRNA from 1 species
AGUGAACGCUGGCGGUAGGCCUAACACAUGCAAGUCGAACGGCAGCACAGUAAGAGCUUGCUCUUACGGGUGGCGAGUGGCGGACGGGUGAGGAAUACAUCGGAAUCUACUUUUUCGUGGGGGAUAACGUAGGGAAACUUACGCUAAUACCGCAUACGACCUACGGGUGAAAGCAGGGGAUCUUCGGCCCUUGCGCGAUUGAAUGAGCCGAUGUCGGAUUAGCUAGUUGGCGGGGUAAAGGCCCACCAAGGCGACGAUCCGUAGCUGGUCUGAGAGGAUGAUCAGCCACACGGGAACUGAGACACGGUCCAGACUCCUACGGGAGGCAGCAGUGGGGAAUAUUGGACAAUGGGCGCAAGCCUGAUCCAGCCAUACCGCGUGGGUGAAGAAGGCCUUCGGGUUGUAAAGCCCUUUUGUUGGGAAAGAAAAGCAGCAGGUUAAUACCCCGCUGUUCUGACGGUACCCAAAGAAUAAGCACCGGCUAACUUCGUG